UAAUACGUAGGUGGCAAGCGUUGUCCGGGAUUUAUUGGGCGUAAAGCGAGUGCAGGCGGUUCAAUAAGUCUGAUGUGAAAGCUUUCGGCUCAACCGGAGAAUUGCAUCAGAAACUGUUGAACUUGAGUGCAGAAGAGGAGAGUGGAACUCCAUGUGUAGCGGUGGAAUGCGUAGAUAUAUGGAAGAACACCAGUGGCGAAGGCGGCUCUCUGGUCUGCAACUGACGCUGAGGCUCGAAAGCAUGGGUAGCGAACAGGAUUAGAUACCCUGGUAGUCCAUGCCGUAAACGAUGAGUGCUAAGUGUUGGGAGGUUUCCGCCUCUCAGUGCUGCAGCUAACGCAUUAAGCACUCCGCCUGGGGAGUACGACCGCAAGGUUGAAACUCAAAGGAAUUGACGGGGGCCCGCACAAGCGGUGGAGCAUGUGGUUUAAUUCGAAGCAACGCGAAGAACCUUACCAGGUCUUGACAUCCAGUGCAAACCUAAGAGAUUAAGAGUUCCCUUCGGGGACGCUGAGACAGGUGGUGCAUGGCUGUCGUCAGCUCGUGUCGUGAGAUGUUGGGUUAAGUCCCGCAACGAGCGCAACCCUUGUCAUUAGUUGCCAUCAUUAAGUUGGGCACUCUAAUGAGACUGCCGGUGACAAACCGGAGGAAGGUGGGGAUGACGUCAAGUCAUCAUGCCCCUUAUGACCUGGGCUACACACGUGCUACAAUGGACGGUACAACGAGAAGCGAACCUGCGAAGGCAAGCGGAUCUCUGAAAGCCGUUCUCAGUUCGGACUGUAGGCUGCAACUCGCCUACACGAAGCUGGAAUCGCUAGUAAUCGCGGAUCAGCACGCCGCGGUGAAUACGUUCCCGGGCCUUGUACACACCGCCCGUCACACCAUGAGAGUCUGUAACACCCAAAGCCGGUGGGAUAACCUUUAUAGGAGUCAGCC
rnacentral:rRNA from 1 species